CGUGCGCCGGCUCAGCCCGGCGCCUCAGCCACCGCUCCCGCUGCAGCUGAGCCCCGCCGCGCGGCUCCCGGAAGGGCGUCACUUCUGCUCCCACCUCUGAGCCUAACUUUAGCCCGCGGUUCCCCCGCCAGAAACUUCAAAACUAGAGCUCCCAGAGCCCCUCUUACUCGGCACAGCCCGGCUGCGCGACCGAACCAGCCAUGUUUAUAUAGCCACGCGGAGACCUCGCGCACGCGCGCUGGCCGCCGCCGUCGCUUCGGGCUUCCCCCGGAAUCCUACCAUCUAAUUGGCCAGGGGGAGGAAUCGCGUUCGUGACGUCACGAGGACGACUCCAGAGAGCGUUAGAAUCUUCCCCGGAAUCCGGAGGGAGAAGGGUGACAACUGAAAUCUGUAAGUAUGGCUGAUUACUCUCCAGUCUCUCACAUCAUAUCCAAGAAACUUCAUUGGACAUCAUAAACCUGGGCAAACACAAUAUCCCCCUGAAGGGCUAUGCCAAGGAGAAGCUCAUUAACAAAUACUUCCUUCAACUACAAAGAUGGAUCAUUUUCCCAUAAUAGUAUGCAUUCUUCUUACUCACUGACGAUAAAUAUUUCGGAGUCCCUGUAUGGUACAAAUGGUUAACGUACUCAGCUGGUAACUGCAAAUUUGGAGGUUCAAGUCCAUGCAGAGGUAACUGGGAAGAAGAAACGCCUGGUGACCUACUUCUGAAAAAUCAGCCAUAAAAACCCUAUGAAGCUGAGUUCUGCUCUGACAAACUCAUGGUGACCAGUUUACUGGUAAUAAGCAUUUUAGCUUCUUUCUCAGUCUAUACAUUCCUUGGGUGAUAAAAUUCGCUUUCAUGGCUUAUUUUCUAUCUAUAUGCUUAUGACUUCUGUAUUUGUCUAUAUUUUUGACUUGGAUUUCUCUCCUGGCCUCAGACCUGUAUAGACAGCUGUCUAUUAUCUCCACCUGAAUGUUCCACAAGCUCAAAAGUAAACUUAUCAUCUCAACUUCAAAGCUGCUUUUUCUUCUGUGAUCCCUAUUUCAGUGAGCCUGGCCAACCUCCUUCCAGUUGCUCCACACGCAAAACUAGGACUCAACCUUGACUGUCGUCUCUUCUUUACCUCUGUUUCAAAUCAGUCAUUAAAUCAUGUCAAUCCUGGCAUAAAUCUGUAGU